rnacentral:rRNA from 1 species
AUUGAACGCUGGCGGCAUGCUUUACACAUGCAAGUCGAACGGCAGCGCGGGCUUCGGCCUGGCGGCGAGUGGCGAACGGGUGAGUAAUAUAUCGGAACGUACCCAAGAGUGGGGGAUAACGUAGCGAAAGUUACGCUAAUACCGCAUACGAUCUAAGGAUGAAAGCAGGGGAUCGCAAGACCUUGUGCUCCUGGAGCGGCCGAUAUCUGAUUAGCGAGUUGGGGGGGUAAAGGCCCACCAAGGCAACGAUCAGUAGCUGGUCUGAGAGGACGACCAGCCACACUGGAACUGAGACACGGUCCAGACUCCUACGGGAGGCAGCAGUGGGGAAUUUUGGACAAUGGGGGCAACCCUGAUCCAGCAAUGCCGCGUGAGUGAAGAAGGCCUUCGGGUUGUAAAGCUCUUUUGUCAGGGAAGAAAAGGCUGUGGCUAAUAUCCACAGCUGCUGACGGUACCUGAAGAAUAAGCACCGGCUAACUACGUGCCAGCAGCCGCCGUAACAC